rnacentral:rRNA from 1 species
CCUACGGGUGGCAGCAGUGGGGGAUAUUGCACAAUGGGGGGAACCCUGAUGCAGCGACGCCGCGUGGGUGAAGAAGCGCCUCGGCGCGUAAAGCCCUGUCAGCAGGGAAGAAAAUGACGGUACCUGAAGAAGAAGCCCCGGCUAACUACGUGUCAGCAGCCGCGGUAAUACGGGGGGGGCAAGCGUUAUCCGGAUUUACUGGGUGUAAAGGGGGCGCAGACGGCUGUGCAAGGCAGGAGUGAAAGCCCGGGGCCCAACCCCUGGACCGCACUUGGAACUGCGUGGCUUGAGUGCAGGAGAGGCAGGCGGAAGUCCUGGUGUAGCGGUGAAAUGCGUAGAGAUCAGGAGGAACACCGGUGGCGAAGGCGGCCUGCUGGACUGCAACUGACGUUGAGGCCCGAAAGCGUGGGGAGCAAACAGGAUUAGAUACCCUUGUAGUC